rnacentral:rRNA from 1 species
AAUCAACGCUGGCGGCGUGCCUAACACAUGCAAGUCGCACGAGAAAGGGGAGCAAUCCCUGAGUAAAGUGGCGCACGGGUGAGUAACACGUGAAUCAUCUACCUCCGAGUGGGGAAUAACUGAGAGAAAUCUUAGCUAAUACCGCAUAACACUUACGAGUCAAAGCAGCAAUGCGCUUGGAGAGGAGUUCGCGGCCGAUUAGUUAGUUGGCGGGGUAANGGCCCACCAAGACGAUGAUCGGUAUCCGGCCUGAGAGGGCGCGCGGACACACUGGAACUGAAACACGGUCCAGACUCCUACGGGAGGCAGCAGUGGGGAAUUUUGCGCAAUGGGGGAAACCCUGACGCAGCAACGCCGCGUGGAGGAUGAAGUAUCUUGGUACGUAAACUCCUUUCGAUUGGGAAGAUAAUGACGGUACCAAUAGAAGAAGCCCCGGCUAACUUCGUGCCAGCCGCCGCCGUAAG